UUAGAGUUUGAUCUGGCUCAGGAUGAACGCUGGCGGCGUGCUUAACACAUGCAAGUCGAACGAAGCGCUUAAGAAAGAUUCUUCGGAUGAAAGCUUUUGUGACUGAGUGGCGGACGGGUGAGUAACGCGUGGGUAACCUGCCUUACACUGGGGGAUAACACUUAGAAAUAGGUGCUAAUACCGCAUAAGCGCACGAAGCCGCAUGGAUUUGUGUGAAAAAUUCCGGUGGUGUAAGAUGGACCCGCGUCUGAUUAGCUUGUUGGCGGGGUAACGGCCCACCAAGGCGACGAUCAGUAGCCGGCCUGAGAGGGUGGACGGCCACAUUGGGACUGAGACACGGCCCAAACUCCUACGGGAGGCAGCAGUGGGGGAUAUUGGACAAUGGGGGGAACCCUGAUCCAGCGACGCCGCGUGAGUGAAGAAGUAUUUCGGUAUGUAAAGCUCUGUUGGUAGUGAAGAAAGAUAGAGGUAGUAACUGGCCUUUAUUUGACGGUAAUUACUUAGAAAGUCACGGCUAACUACGUGCCAGCAGCCGCGGUAAUACGUAGGUGGCAAGCGUUGUCCGGAUUUAUUGGGCGUAAAGCGAGUGCAGGCGGUUCAAUAAGUCUGAUGUGAAAGCUUUCGGCUCAACCGGAGAAUUGCAUCAGAAACUGUUGAACUUGAGUGCAGAAGAGGAGAGUGGAACUCCAUGUGUAGCGGUGGAAUGCGUAGAUAUAUGGAAGAACACCAGUGGCGAAGGCGGCUCUCUGGUCUGCAACUGACGCUGAGGCUCGAAAGCAUGGGUAGCGAACAGGAUUAGAUACCCUGGUAGUCCAUGCCGUAAACGAUGAGUGCUAAGUGUUGGGAGGUUUCCGCCUCUCAGUGCUGCAGCUAACGCAUUAAGCACUCCGCCUGGGGAGUACGACCGCAAGGUUGAAACUCAAAGGAAUUGACGGGGGCCCGCACAAGCGGUGGAGCAUGUGGUUUAAUUCGAAGCAACGCGAAGAACCUUACCAGGUCUUGACAUCCAGUGCAAACCUAAGAGAUUAGGUGUUCCCUUCGGGGACGCUGAGACAGGUGGUGCAUGGCUGUCGUCAGCUCGUGUCGUGAGAUGUUGGGUUAAGUCCCGCAACGAGCGCAACCCUUGUCAUUAGUUGCCAUCAUUAAGUUGGGCACUCUAAUGAGACUGCCGGUGACAAACCGGAGGAAGGUGGGGAUGACGUCAAGUCAUCAUGCCCCUUAUGACCUGGGCUACACACGUGCUACAAUGGACGGUACAACGAGAAGCGAACCUGCGAAGGCAAGCGGAUCUCUUAAAGCCGUUCUCAGUUCGGACUGUAGGCUGCAACUCGCCUACACGAAGCUGGAAUCGCUAGUAAUCGCGGAUCAGCACGCCGCGGUGAAUACGAUCCCGGGCCUUGCACACACCGCCCGUCA
rnacentral:rRNA from 1 species